rnacentral:rRNA from 1 species
UACGUAGGGGGCUAGCGUUGUCCGGAUUUAUUGGGCGUAAAGAGCUCGUAGGCGGCUUGGCAAGUCGGGUGUGAAAACUUCAGGCUCAACCUGGAGCGGCCACUCGAUACUGCUAUGGCUUGAGUCCGGUAGGGGACCACGGAAUUCCUGGUGUAGCGGUGAAAUGCGCAGAUAUCAGGAGGAACACCAGUGGCGAAGGCGGUGGUCUGGGCCGGAACUGACGCUGAGGAGCGAAAGCGUGGGUAGCAAACAGG